rnacentral:lncRNA from 1 species
UUGUAACCGUCGCUAUAGGCUAUAGCGACACUUAUCUGUCGUCUUAGGUGUUUUUGAGCCUCAAGAACACUGUCAGACCAGUCACGAGUGUGUACGUUUGACCGGCUUUGAUUCUCAGUAUAUUCAUGUUCUGGGCUAGCUUAAACCUUAAUCGUGCAGUGUUUAUGUAACACUACAGUUUUCAAUCAUCAAUUAAGUCAUGCAACAAUCCAUCAAGAAGAUCUGAUCUCCCAAACUUCUUGUCAGGGCGUUUCUGGGUUUUCCCAGAAACCCAGCAGUCCGAGUGGUUAGUUUGUAGCUCGAUUUAAUAUAGGUUCCUAUCAUGAUUUAUGUGUUCUCAUGGUCCAAUCGUGUAGUUGGAAUGUCAUAGAGUAUAUAUAUAACAAUAGAUUAGUCCAACAACAAAAGAUUCACAAGAUAAAGCUUAGUCAAAC